rnacentral:rRNA from 1 species
GCAAGUCGAGCGAACUGAUUAGAAGCUUGCUUCUAUGACGUUAGCGGCGGACGGGUGAGUAACACGUGGGCAACCUGCCUGUAAGACUGGGAUAACUUCGGGAAACCGAAGCUAAUACCGGAUAGGAUCUUCUCCUUCAUGGGAGAUGAUUGAAAGAUGGUUUCGGCUAUCACUUACAGAUGGGCCCGCGGUGCAUUAGCUAGUUGGUGAGGUAACGGCUCACCAAGGCAACGAUGCAUAGCCGACCUGAGAGGGUGAUCGGCCACACUGGGACUGAGACACGGCCCAGACUCCUACGGGAGGCAGCAGUAGGGAAUCUUCCGCAAUGGACGAAAGUCUGACGGAGCAACGCCGCGUGAGUGAUGAAGGCUUUCGGGUCGUAAAACUCUGUUGUUAGGGAAGAACAAGUACGAGAGUAACUGCUCGUACCUUGACGGUACCUAACCAGAAAGCCACGGCUAACUACGUGCCAGCAGCCGCGGUAAUACGUAGGUGGCAAGCGUUAUCCGGAAUUAUUGGGCGUAAAGCGCGCGCAGGCGGUUUCUUAAGUCUGAUGUGAAAGCCCACGGCUCAACCGUGGAGGGUCAUUGGAAACUGGGGAACUUGAGUGCAGAAGAGAAAAGCGGAAUUCCACGUGUAGCGGUGAAAUGCGUAGAGAUGUGGAGGAACACCAGUGGCGAAGGCGGCUUUUUGGUCUGUAACUGACGCUGAGGCGCG